AGUUUGUAAAAUGUUCUCUCUGAACAAGUUGUAUGAUCUGAAGAGAGGAAGAUUUGCAUUGCUGAUAAUUUACCAAAUUCCCAUCAUUUGUACACAGAAGCCAGUAGUCAAUUCAACUGCUAUAACCAGCAACUUAACAAAGGCUAAUUUAGAAGGAUCAAAAAACCCGGAAAAUGUACCCAAAGCAACGCAUGUGAAUGCCACCCUCUUGCUAAGUCCAGGAAAUUCAACAAGAGCUAAUCCAAGAAAUAUUACCAACACAAAUCUGGGAAAUUCAACCAAACCAAAUCCAGGAAACUCAACCAAAUCAAAUCUAGAGCAGGCAACCAACCUGAAUGCAACAUUAUUAAACGAAACAAAGCUGGUGAAUGUUUCAAGCCCUAAAACUAGAAUGAAUGCUGGACCUAGACGAACAAAUGUCCUUAUUCCACAAAUAAUUUCAAGAAGUCAUGGGGGCCUUCACAAUAUUUCAAAUCAUAGAGUGUGCAAUUCUCUUUCUGAUGUAUUUGACAAUUGUAUGGCUCAAGUAAUCUUAGCAAUACGACAGUGUUCAGAUGUGAAUGAUUUUGCUGAGGGCAACUGUUCUGCUCACAUUAUUCUACCAGGAAAGACGAGGCCAUGGCAAAAGAAGGUGCCGCACAAACGGAAAAAGAAGAUCUUACAUCAUCGAAAACGAAAAUGUAAAAGUGUUGAUGAAGUACUUCGUGGAGAGUGUCCAACAGAGCUAAUACCAAACUUAAAGGAGUGCAAUAGUGUUAAAGAUUUUGCAAAAGAAAAUUGUAGAGCUGAGCUAAUUCUAGAUCAUAAGUGCCAAAGUGUUAAUGAAUUGAUGAAAGAAGAAUGCGGAGCACAGAUUCUACCUUCGUCAGAGUGCACAAGUGUUGACCAAUUUGCGAAUGGAAAUUGUUUAGCAGAACUUUUAUCUGAUGAACCGGAAUCACUAGAACAGUGCCAAAAUAUUGACGAUAUGAUGACUGGAAAUUGUAUGGUAGAGAUUAUACCUAUAAAAUCAAAACGCCAGUGCAACAAUACAGCGCAGUUUGCGAAUGGAGCCUGCUCUGCCCAACUUAUACCUGCUGUAAUGUGUGAGAAUACAGAAGAUUUCGCGAGAGGAACCUGUGCGGGACAGCUCUUACUUGGACAAAUUUGUGAGAGCUUAACGGAAAUGUCGCUUGGAAACUGUUCUACCGAGUUAUUGUUGGCAAACAAGUGUCGCGAUAUUUCUGAGUUUAGUUUAGGAGAGUGUGCUGCUGAAACAAUACCAGGCUAUCAGGGAACAUGUGAUGACUUUACAAUGCUCGAUGAAAGGGAAAGUUGCACGGCUUCCAUCAUAGCAGUUGAUAAGAAAUGUGUUUGGGGACAACCAUGCGAAAAACCAAAUCAAGAGAUUUGUAGGACCUGUUCGUCUCCUGUACAAGUUGAUCAUUACACUAAGCUGGCCCCUAAAUCCUACUGCGAGGGAGAUUUAUCUCUAAAAACUGUUCACGGUCUUAAAUGCAAGGUUAAGAAUGGCACUAGUAGUUGUAUGGUCGGUGGAGAGGGAUAUUCAUUUUGUGAUACAGAGUUCCUUUUUUUCAGAGCUGGGCACUGGCAAGACUGGGAUCUCUGUUCAUUAUGUACGGAGACUGACAGGAUGACACGUAACUCUUACUGCUCAUGGACUCAGCUGUGACGGGGAGUGUUCUUCAAAAUGGAAUAACAAAGAAAUAGCUUCCCCGAGAUGCAGAGUCAAAGAAAGAUUAGAGAAUGAUCCUGAAUUUGACUACUGUACAACGUGUGAUUCUACAUUGGACG
rnacentral:misc_RNA from 1 species